AGUGGCGAACGGGUGAGUAACACGUGGGCAACCUGCCCAAAAGAGGGGGAGUAACACUUGGAAACAGGUGCUAAUACCGCAUAACCAUAGUUACCGCAUGGUAACUAUGUAAAAGGUGGCUAUACUACCGCUUUUGGAUGGGCCCGCGGCGCAUUAGCUAGUUGGUAGGGUAAAGGCUUACCAAGGCAAUGAUGCGUAGCCGAAUUGAGAGGUUGAUCGGCCACAUUGGGACUGAGACACGGCCCAAACUCCUACGGAAGGCAGCAG
rnacentral:rRNA from 1 species